AAGAAAUCGAACAAAUAACUUAAUGUACACACAUCCCAUUUAUUUCUGCGCCAGAAACUAAAGUUACCUGAUUGAGAUUAAUGUCAGAACUUCCUCUGUUUUGUGCAACCAAGGUUUGAUCUUUUUUGGUCUAAGCACUGCCUUAUUAGUAGUUUGAGAACUUGUAUGGUGCAGCAGGAAGCUACCAGAGGCAAAAUGUACACUUGCUGUUAAGACAAAGGUUAGAAUCAGGUGAGGCUGACUUCUUUUUUAUUUUUCUGGGGUUUUCCUACUUGGUUCUUUACAAAAUUAAUGUAUCAUUUUAUUCAAACUACUCUGGUAAAUAUAGUCAAAAGGGACUUCUAACUUUGGAAGAGGGUGUGGCAUUCUGAAUCAGGUUUAGAAAUUUUUGAUAACACAAGCUGUCGUUAGUUUUCAUGGUAAUGAAUUCUGCACUUUGAAGUGAGAGGUCUGGCUGUUCAUAGCUGGUGAUGCAAAAGCAAAGGUAGCGAAACUCAGGCAAUUUGGAAGGUAUUGUGAUUAUUUUUAAUUUUAGUUCUUUGUACUAUAAUAUUUAUAGCUAAUUCAUUAAUUGUUGUUUGCAAUGCUGUUGUAUUAAGAAAAAUGUGUAUCUAUCAGUGUGUUUGCAUGAUUUGUUUUGGUAUAUUUCCCUUAUUUAGUUCAACUUUUACCAUACCUCCUACAGGGAAAAAUAAUUUAAUUUAGCAGAAGCUGUUUUCAUUCUGAGCAAACCUUGAUUUAAAGCUAUGGGGGUUGUAAUUACAUUUAAUUAUAAUAAGUUUGGGUUUUGAAAAAACCUCAGUAGUCUGGGUUUUAAAUUCCCACAUCAGUUCAUGGUGGGCCUAAAGACUGGCAGUUCACUGCGUUAUGUUCCAUAUUUUUUUCCACCAGCAGAGCUUGGCUAGGAAAACAAACUUAAUCCAAGGUUUAGAAUUUUCCACUUUUCUACAUUUCAUAGAAGCUGGGACUUUGGAGUAAAUUUCUAAGUGCAUGCCUCCAGGUAAGCAGUUUCUUGUACCUGGACUUACAUGUUGGCAUAGACCUACCCAAGAACAUAGCUCACUGGGAAGAAACAUUACCUCCCUCUGGACUUUUUUCCCUUCUGACCAUCACUAACCAAAGGGCAAACUCUCUCAAAGGCUUUGCAGCCAGGAAAAGCAGAAAGUGUUUAUUAGAGACUAAGCUCAAGAAAAGAAAUACGUGGGGCAUGGAGCUGUGUUAAGUUCAAACAUUACCAGAAAAGGAUGCUUACCCUGAGAAGCUUUGGUUGUAGUGUUAGAGUGAAGGAAGGAACGUGACUUUGAAAGGGUGUUACUUUGGAUGAGAGGCAGGAGUUCCAAAUGCUAAUAAAAUUAACAAACUUGAGUACACAUUUUAUAAGGAACAGAAAAAGUUUGUAUGAAUCUCUGAAUACACCAAAAGGAUUAUUUUGAUUUGUAUUUUCGCAGCCUUUCUGUUAUGCUGAUUCGUUCCUUUUGACUUUGAAUAAUCUUUUUACUUCUUUCCUUGAAUUCUAGCCCAGUUUUCUUAAACAUAAAUCUGUUAUCUUACACUAUCUCAGAGAAAAUAAGCAAAAGUUGUUCUAUCCUUUUUUCUAGCUUCUUCCUCUUUAUAACUUUAUUUUCAGAAUUUAACUCAAAAUUCCCUAAUAAUUGACUAUGAGUUUGAUUUCUGGAUCAAAAAACUUUUUAGGC
ensembl:lncRNA